AAAAACAUCUUGAAAAGCAGAGUAGCUAUCGUUUUUAUUGUUAAAGAGAACUGACAGUUGGUGAGAGUCAGUCAAUAAGGCAUAGUGAACAUGGGCUUGGAAUGAUGAUUAUCAGUGAUAUUUAGCUGAUAACGGGUUUGCAUCCGUUAACAUUGCAAGCUGUUUCUUGACAGCUAAUGAGGUUUAUCCGCGUGAGCGGGUAGACGAAUUAAAGGUGGUAAAACGAAGCACUCGUCCUUUUC
rnacentral:ncRNA from 1 species